UAAACUAGGAUUAGAUACCCUAUUAUAUUUAAAUUAAUAAAGUAGUAAAAUAAUUAAACUAAUUUAAUAUGGCGGCAUUUCAUCUAUUUAGAGGAAUUUGUUUAUUAAUCGAUAAUCCACGUUAUUUUUCACUUUAAUUUUAAAAUUUAUAUACCGCCAUCUCAAGAAUUAAUUAAAAAAUCUUCUCAUAAUUAUUUAAAAAAAGUUAGGUCAAGGUAUAAUCAACAUUAAAGAAUAAAUGAAUUACAUUAAAUAUUAUUUAAAGCCUAUAUAUAUAUAUACAAAUACAAAUAAGAAUUUAAAAGUAAUAUACAAAUAAUA
rnacentral:rRNA from 1 species